UGCUGAGCGCAGGGGAACUGAGCAGGCUGGGCUCCCAAUAAACAGGAGGGGAAAAGCAGAGAUGAGUCCGGGAGGAAGAGGACGGAGCGCCGCUGAAGACGGAGCCUGGAGGAUGUUUCCUGGCCCAGUCUGGGAGAGGAUCAGAUAGUGGGCAGAUAACAAUAGAAAUGAUGACUGAGACGAAACUGCGGCCACUCGCUGGGCAGAGAGGCUGGCCCCACCGCGGGCAGACGGAGACUGGAGAGGAGGAUCCAAAGCACGAGCAGCUCUGGUGCACAAGCUGAGCUCUGCAGCAAACUCAUGUGGGACCUCUGAGAGCUGAGAACUUCCAGGACUGCUGCAUGAGUGCUUGCACCUUUUCAGCUGGGGUAUGAAGACUCAGCAGCAAAUUCAGACCAUAAAUAUGUCUGGAGAGCGUAAAUAACUGUUACCAUGGCUCUUUCUGCCCACCAUGGUUCUUGCUUUCCUUUCACCAGUACUUUGGGAACUACCCCAUGAGCACUGGGUCCCUUGAGCCCACAUCACAGUGCGUUUCCCUCUAAUCGGAUAGAUGCUG
rnacentral:lncRNA from 1 species